UACGGAGGGAGCAAGCGUUACUCGGAAUUAUUGGGCGUAAAGGGCGCGUAGGCGAUUUGAAAAGUCUUGUGUGAAAGCCCCGAGCUUAACUCGGGAAGUGCACAAGAAACUGUUGAAUUUGAGUUCCGGAGAGGAAGGCAGAAUUCCCGGUGUAGCGGUGAAAUGCGUAGAUAUCGGGAGGAAUACCAGUGGCGAAGGCGGCCUUCUGGACGGAUACUGACGCUGAGGCGCGAAAGCCAGGGGGAGCAAAC
rnacentral:rRNA from 1 species